rnacentral:rRNA from 1 species
CUUCGGGUCGUAAAGCACUGUCUCCCGUGACGAAAUUUGACGGUAGCGGGGAAGGAAGCCACGGCUAACUACGUGCCAGCAGCCGCGGUAAUACGUAGGUGGCGAGCGUUGUCCGGAAUUAUUGGGCGUAAAGAGCAUGUAGGCGGUUUUUUAAGUCUGGAGUGAAAAUGCGGGGCUCAACCCCGUAUGGCUCUGGAUACUGGAAGACUUGAGUGCAGGAGAGGAAAGGGGAAUUCCCAGUGUAGCGGUGAAAUGCGUAGAUAUUGGGAGGAACACCAGUGGCGAAGGCGCCUUUCUGGACUGUGUCUGACGCUGAGAUGCGAAAGCCAGGGUAGCGAACGGGAUUAGAUACCCCGGUAGUCCUGGCCGUAAACGAUGGGUACUAGGUGUAGGAGGUAUCGACCCCUUCUGUGCCGGAGUUAACGCAAUAAGUACCCCGCCUGGGGAGUACGUCCGCAAGGAUGAAACUCAAAGGAAUUGACGGGGGCCCGCACAAGCGGUGGAGUAUGUGGUUUAAUUCGAAGCAACGCGAAGAACCUUACCAGGCCUUGACAUGGAUAUAAAUGUUCUAGAGAUAGAAAGAUAGCUAUAUAUCACACAGGUGGUGCAUGGUUGUCGUCAGCUCGUGUCGUGAGAUGUUGGGUUAAGUCCCGCAACGAGCGCAACCCCUAUCCUAUGUUACCAGCGGGUAAUGCCGGGGACUCAUAGGAGACUGCCAAGGACAACUUGGAGGAAGGCGGGGAUGACGUCAAGUCAUCAUGCCCCUUAUGUCUUGGGCUACACACGUACUACAAUGGUCGGCAACAGAGGGAAGCGAAGCCGUGAGGCAGAGCAAACCCCAGAAACCCGAUCUCAGUUCGGAUUGCAGGCUGCAACUCGCCUGCAUGAAGUCGGAAUCGCUAGUAAUCGCAGGUCAGCAUACUGCGGUGAAUACGUUCCCGGGCCUUGUACACACCGCCCGUCACACCACGAAAGUUGGUAACACCCGAAGCCGGUGGGGUAACCGUAAGGAGCCAGCCGUCUAAGGUGGGGCCGAUGAUUGGGGUGAAGUCGUAACAAGGUAGCCGUAUCGGAAGGUGCGGCUG